rnacentral:lncRNA from 1 species
AUGAAUCAGACAGAUGACAAUAUGCACAAAAGGUCCACUGAAAUAAUUUAAUCAGGAAAUGAGGUAAGACCAAAUAAAAUUAAGAUAAAAUGCCUCUAAUACAUGGCAUAUGAGAUGAACAAGGGAGGAUCAAAAGAUCUCUUCAAUUGCCAUAAGCAAUCCCUAAGUCAAACAUCGAUCAUAAAGAAGUCAACUGAAAUUCAAGUCAACUUAAAAAAUAUGAAAUAAAUAGCAAAUUAAUCAAGAAAAUUAUGAAAAAUUAAACUAAGUUAGGUGGAGUCAGG